UCCCUGGUAGUCUAGUGGUUAGAAUGCGGCGCUGUCACCGCUGUGGCCCGGGUUCGAUCCCCGGUCAGGGAA